AUGAACGCUGGCGGCGUGCCUAAUACAUGCAAGUCGAGCGAACGGACGAGAAGCUUGCUUCUCUGAUGUUAGCGGCGGACGGGUGAGUAACACGUGGAUAACCUACCUAUAAGACUGGGAUAACUUCGGGAAACCGUGGCUAAUACCGGAUAAUAUUUUGAACCGCAUGGUUCAAAAGUGAAAGACGGUCUUGCUGUCACUUAUAGAUGGAUCCGCGCUGCAUUAGCUAGUUGGUAAGGUAACGGCUUACCAAGGCAACGAUGCAUAGCCGACCUGAGAGGGUGAUCGGCCACACUGGAACUGAGACACGGUCCAGACUCCUACGGGAGGCAGCAGUAGGGAAUCUUCCGCAAUGGGCGAAAGCCUGACGGAGCAACGCCGCGUGAGUGAUGAAGGUCUUCGGAUCGUAAAACUCUGUUAUUAGGGAAGAACAUAUGUGUAAGUAACUGUGCACAUCUUGACGGUACCUAAUCAGAAAGCCACGGCUAACUACGUG
rnacentral:rRNA from 1 species